rnacentral:rRNA from 1 species
GAUGUUAAAAUGGCGAAAUCCAACCAAGCUCGGGUAAACGGCGGGAGUAACUAUGACUCUCUUAACGUAGCCAAAUGCCUCGUCAUCAUACGAAAAACAAGUGUACCAAAAACGCGUUCGCAAACCGGGGUUUACUCGGGUUAGUAGGGCCUUCGGGCUCGAAGGCCAGGGUCGAUACCGGAAGUGACCAGCCGAAGACUGAAAGGGGCCCAGGAUCAUACGGCAAGUCGAGAGACGAGCUAGAUUCCGGGACUCUGACGGGCAAGUAGGCCGCACCAAAUUGCACUGAGGACCCUUUCGGGGGGCCGAUGGGCAGCCAACCCGGAAGCGAGGAUUCUUCGGAUAUUCUUGCCAAGGGAGGUUAGAGACUAUACGGUGCUAGGAAAGGGAGUGCUGGGGAAGUCAUGAGCCCCAGCCAGUCCACCGAGGAGAGAUAGUCCGUCAUAGGGUAUGGAGAGCUUGGAGCGAGUGGUCCGUAAGGUCUGGGAUCCUGUAUUUAACUAUACGGGUGAAACUACCUAAGCGUCGGCCAGAGGCACCGGUUGCUCACGCCAUACCCGACAAACAGACGUUAAUUUGUGACGCGCAUGAAUGGAUUAAUGAGAUUCCCACUGUCCCUACCUACUAUCUAGCGAAACCACAGCCAAGGGAACGGGCUUGGCACAAUUAGCGGGGAAAGAGACCCUGUUGAGCUUGACUCUAGGCACAGAAGCGAGGUGAUUCUAAAGGUGUAGCAUAGGUGGGAGGGCCUGGCCCGACCUUGAAAUACCACCACUUUCGACAUCGCUUUGCUAAUGCUGUAACGAACGAACGGCCCCCGGAAGUUGCCUAACGGUAGUUUUCGGUAAGGUCAUAUUCUAGCGCUUUCCUUGCGGGAUACGGUAACUUGGCUCCUCUGGUGAGUACCUUGGAUCCACAAACUGGGCUUCCGGGUCUGGUGCGUGCUGCUUCUGGGGGAACUAGGGAUGGUCGGGCUGCCCUCUGUCCUGCAAAAUCGGGUACGUAAGCCGUGUAGCAGACACUCUGUGUUGGGGAGUUUGGCUGGGGCGGAAAACUGCUACACGGCAACGGCAGUCUCCUAAGGUCCACUCAGAGACGACAGAAACGUCUCGUAGAGCAUAAAGGCAAAAGUGGGCUUAACUUACAUUUUCAGUAGUAAUGUGAAGCAAGAAAUUGAGGCUUAACGAUCCUUAGCAGCGGGUGCCAGCCCAUGCUUGAGGUGAGAGAAAAGUUACCACAGGGAUUGAUCAAAACGCGUAGCUUUGGGGGGUUUAGCCUUGGUUCCGGAUGGGGUCGAUAAGGUUGACGAGCCUGAUCCCUGAAAGUCUCGGGUUAUUCUCCUUACGACUGGGUUUGUAGUAGCGAUCUCACUUAACUGCGGGAUUUCAAGGCAUCUCUGCUCUGGGUUCCAAUCCAAUACGAGGAGUUAGGGGAAAGGGCGGCUUUGCAGGCUGUCCGCUCUCCGUCCUGGGUCCAACAAGCGCACUGCAAAAAGGCGUGUACGGACCCGGGGAUUCCACGGCAGUCUACAUUCGAGGGUAAGCGCAGGUUUCCUCGGAUACAGGCGACACACCUGGUUGCUGGGACGACCCAUCCCAAACGGCGGCGGUACCAAGCGUUCCCCAGUGAAUCUGGGGCGUGGAGUGUUCAUUGCUCUCUUCGGAGGCCGGUGGAUACGGCUAAUAAUCCGACGUCGGGGUUUACCAGCAGGCGACAAGGUCUACCCAAAGGGGCUAACUGGGGGAGAGCAGGCAUCCGUGCCAGCCGAUCCCGACUUGCCCUAUGGAACGGUGACUAAGCGUCUCAACGACUGGAAAGGUGUGGGCAUUGAUGGUUCGAAGCCAAGUGAAGUCCCGGGGUUUUCCUCGGUUCAGAGCUAGGUGAUAGGGUCUGCUGGUGCUUAAGGUACAGUCUACUCCCACCCGCAAGGGUGUCUCGGACCACCAAGCCCGUGGGGACUCCCUUUUAUUAGGGAAGAUCCUCGGGUUGAUCCACUACUGCAGGAUCAGGUUCAGGAGGGCAGGGCUCGUCAGAGGCUCUUAUCCGUUAGCGUAGGUUCCCGGUAUCCCGUGGUAUUUCAACCCGGGGGACCACAUGGGUUCCGAGAGGAUAGGGGAAGAGGCGGGUCAGGUCUGGUACUGGGAACUGGCUUGUGGCCGCCAAGCGUUCAUAGCGACGUGGCUUUUUGAUCCUUCGAUGUCGGCUCUUCC